AGUGAACGCUGGCGGUAGGCCUAACACAUGCAAGUCGAACGGCAGCACAGUAAGAGCUUGCUCUUACGGGUGGCGAGUGGCGGACGGGUGAGGAAUACAUCGGAAUCUACUUUUUCGUGGGGGAUAACGUAGGGAAACUUACGCUAAUACCGCAUACGACCUACGGGUGAAAGCAGGGGAUCUUCGGACCUUGCGCGAUUGAAUGAGCCGAUGUCGGAUUAGCUAGUUGGCGGGGUAAAGGCCCACCAAGGCGACGAUCCGUAGCUGGUCUGAGAGGAUGAUCAGCCACACUGGAACUGAGACACGGUCCAGACUCCUACGGGAGGCAGCAGUGGGGAAUAUUGGACAAUGGGCGGAAGCCUGAUCCAGCCAGACCGCGUGGGUGAAGAAGGCGUUCGGGUUGUAAAGCCCUUUUGUUGGGAAAGAAAAGCAGCAGGUUAAUACCCCGCUGUUCUGACGGUACCCAAAGAAUAAGCACCGGCUAACUUCGUG
rnacentral:rRNA from 1 species